rnacentral:lncRNA from 1 species
AAGACCUAAAAUGGUGCUUUUUCAGGAGAGAGGGCUGGAGGACAGACAGGGUGAUCUGUAGGGUUUGGGAAAAAUCUAAUGAGGCAAUUUAACGUGCGAUUAGGAGCUUUGGGUGAGGAUGAAUUCCCCCCACGCUGGACGCCACUCCCUGCUAGGCUCUCUCCCUAGGCGUGAACUCUGCUCUCCUGGCCUAGCUGGACCUUCCUGUGGCCCCUCCCACGCUCGCGGGGCCCCAGCCUCCCAGGGACCCCGACAUUGCAGCAGGACCCUUCCGCAGCACACCGCGGCCCACCCGCUCUCCGACCAGCGCACCCUUGUCUGCGGUUGGCGAUUUUGGCCCGGACGGCCAGCCUGGCCUGCUCACGCGCCCUGGCCGGAGCAGCAGGCUCAAGACACAGCCCCCUCUCUCGGGCGCACAGCCCCGGCCUCAGCAACACUCACCGCAGCGGCGCGCGCCCGCAGACAGACAAAGCCGGCGCCGAGCCCGUAGCAGCCGCUGCAACGCUGCGCGUCGCCGGACCACAACUCCCAGGAGCCCGCGCGCGCCCCGAGGCACUGUGGGAAGCGCCGCGACCGAGCUGCGGCAGAAACGCGGUGGCUGCUUCUGGUUGUUGGGGAGCGCCGUCCUGUGGAGGAGCGGUGGUUGAAGCUUGGGAAUGCUUAUGACGUUAAAACUGCAGAAGACUCAGGGUUCCCUAUAGGAGCCGGGACCAAGUAUUUCGGACAAAGAAUCAGGAAUACUCUCUGGUCCGUGUAAUAAGUUUUUUUUCACCCAAAAGAUGGACGAGGCACUGCAGGACUUCGGAGUUUAGGUACUACCCCGACUAGUUGUACGACCCAGGGCGCUCACUUGUGGGGAGCCCAGGUCCGACGGCUCCAGGACCCCAUAGGGCACCUACGCGGGGCCCGGGAGACUUUCUGAGCCAAGGGAACUCGAGGGAACAGUAUUCCCUGAGUGGACACUAACAUUGUCUUCCUAACUGAAGAAGUUAAUGACACAAGGGUUGAGAUUUGAACACUCUAAAAUUAGUUAUUAGAGAUGGGAGAGUAGCCCUUUUGGUCCUGAGAGGGGCGUGGAUGAAAUUGAGCAUCCAUUCAAUAAAAUCUCUUUUAAGAUGCCUUAAACG